rnacentral:lncRNA from 1 species
UAUUCCUUUAUACACAGUUUUCACUAAACAUUGUCAGCUGUCAGCAGAAUGACGUUUACGGCAACCCUAUUGCAUUGCUAUUCCGCACUCGUUUUGUUUACAUUUAUUUGUACUGUGGUCAGUUUGCAAAAAAUAUGCGAAAAUAUUAAGGACGACCGAAAAAACAUCCUGGUUUUAAUAAAAGAUCCAGAAUUCAGCAUAAACGUCGAGCUCAAGAAAAAAAUAUGAAAUUAAAUUCCCGAGACGUGGAAGAUUCCGAACAAGCGGAUGUUUUCGAAAGGUCAGAAAUUAUUGAUACAACUGGAUCUGUGUCAAAGGAGAAUCAUUGCCCGGAUGAUUUUUUUACAAAGUCCGGAAGUGAAAAAUUUGACUUUUCUACGCCAGAAGUUAC